CCGGAGCGCGGAGGGAGGAGCGCCAGGAGAAGGGGCCGAGCCGGGAGAGCCCCCGCCCGGGAGGAAGGGGAGGAGGCCGGGUGUUUCCUGGCGCAUUCCCGGCCCGCCCGAGUGACUCACUCGGCCAGGAAACUCCCAGGGCCCGCCCGGGACCCCCGAGCCGCCGCGGUGGACCCAGGUGUACUGUUGAGUGCAUGCACAUUGCUGUGCAACCAUCACCACCAUCCACCUCUAGCCCUUUUCUCAUCUUCCCAGACUGGAACUCUGUGCCCAUUAGACGGUAAUGUCCCAGCACACCGCCCCCUCUACCCCUUGGUAACCACCCUUCUACUCAUUCUGUUUCUCUUCAUGACUCUGAUUCCUCCUUUUUUGCUCUUCAUGACUCUGAUUCCUCCUUUUUUGCUGGGGGGUGGGGGCUGUGGUGUGCAGUAGCUUGAUGUGGGAUCUUAAUUCCCAGACCAGGGAUUGAACCCAGGUUGGCAGCAGCGAAAACACCAAGUCGUAACCACUAGACACCAGGGAUCUCCCUUGACUCCUCUCAAAGACCUGGAAUUGCUCAGUAUUUGUCUUUCUGUGACUGGCUUAUUUCCUUAGCAUGUCUUCAGGGUCAUCCAGGUUGACAUGUGUCAGGAUUUCCUUCCUCCUUAAGGCCAAAUAAUAUUCCAUUAUAUGUACAAACCACAACAAAGAAAAAUGUCCUUGAACACUGACUUGAAGUGAGUUGAACGUUUGAUACUUUUCCUAGGACGUGACCUCAGUGUGUCACGGGGGCUUUCUACAACCCUCAUGCACGGCCUCUUCUCUAACUGGGUGAUCCUGGCCUGUCCUGGGCAGAGGCGGGAGAGGAAGGGGUCCUGUGGGGCUGCCCGAAUGGUGUCAGGCAUCCUUGGAGGCCGUCAGCUUUGAGAUGCUCUGUGUGGACACCACUGGGGUCUCUGCACUGGCUCUGCAUGGCGGUGACCAGGAUGAGGACAUGACUGUGCGUCCCCGUCCUGGGUGUGUCCUUUCUUGGGUGCGUAGGAUAGGAAGUUAUGAUGAUAGAAGGAAGUUGGUAAUGGAAGGAAAA
rnacentral:lncRNA from 1 species